CUCCUCCUCCACUUCCACCUCCACGAUCUCCACAACCUCCACCACCACCACCUGUAAUGGCUCCUCCAGUUCCAAAGGCUGUUCCUUCGGCUCCUGUUCCACCCCCUCCCCCAUCCAUCAAAAGACCUGGUGGUCCCCCUCCACCUCCACCAAAAGCUGCUUCUGUUCCUCGUGCACCAAAAAUAAACAUGGGUCCAUCAAAAGUGCCUCCGCCAUCCCCUCUUGGGCCCCAACAUUCUGUAUCAGAUGGUGCACCAAAAACAAAGCUCAAACCAUUAUUUUGGGAUAAAGUUCUUGCAAACCCUGAUCAAUCUAUGGUGUGGAAUCAGAUUAAGUCGGGUUCAUUCCAGUUUGAUGAGGAGAUGAUUGAAAGUCUUUUUGGUUACAAUUCUGCUAAUAAACCCAAAAAUUGUGGGAAGGGCUUAUCAUCAAAGGUUCCUGUUGAAUAUGUUCGGAUUCUUGAUGCCAAGAAGUCCCAAAAUUUGGCUAUUUCAUUAAAGGCACUGAAUGUGAAAAUAGAAGGAGUUCGUGAUGCUCUUAUGGAAGGAAAAAAGCUUCCAGUGGAGUUACUACAAACAUUGAUAAAGAUGGCUCCUACAACUGAUGAAGAGCUGAAGCUUCGAUUGUAUACUGGUGAUCAUUCUGAACUUGGCUUAGCAGAAAGGUUUUUGAAGGCAUUAUUGGAUAUUCCGUUUGCUUUUCAAAGACUAGAAGCACUUCUUUUCAUGGCUUCCAUGCCAGAAGAAGUUUCAACUGCCACGGAAUCGUUUUCUACGCUAGAGGUGGCCUGUGAAGAACUAAAAAGUAGCCGUCUGUUCUUGAAGCUAUUAGAAGCUGUCCUUAAAACUGGCAAUCGCAUGAAUGAUGGUACCUUCCGUGGGGGAGCACAAGCAUUCAAGCUUGAUACACUCCUGAAGUUGUCUGAUGUUAAAGGAGCCGAUGGGAAGACAACAUUAUUGCAUUUUGUUGUUCAAGAGAUAAUUCGAUCUGAAGGUGUGCGUGCUGUACGAAUAGCCAGGGAACGAAGUGGGAGCGUCUCUAGCCUGAACUCUGAUGAUCUUAGUGAUGAUUCACUCCAUGAAUCUGAAGACUACUUCCGAAAACUUGGUCUUAAAAUUGUUUCAGGUCUUGGAGAUGAACUUCAAAAUGUCAAGAAAGCAGCAUCUUUGGAUGCUGAUGCCUUGGCAACUUUGGUGGCACAGCUUAACCACAGGUCGGUGAGGACAAAGGAAUUCCUAAAUACAAGCAUGAAAAGUCAUGAGGAGGAAAGUGGGUUUCAUCACAUACUCAAGAGUUUCAUGGAGCAAGCUGAAACUGGAAUCAGUUUCUUAUUAGGUGAAGAAAAGAGACUAAGAUUAUUGGUAAAGAAAACCACAGACUUUUUCCAUGGAAAUGCUGGGAAGGAUGAGGGCUUACGAUUGUUUGUAAUUGUACGGGACUUUCUUGUGAUGUUAGAUAAGGCCUGCAAAGAGGUGAGAGAAGCACCAAGAAAAGUUAAACAAGCACCCAGAAAUAGAGAAACAUCAUCACCACUACCCGUGCCAGAUCCAAAGCAGCUACUUUUUCCGGCGAUAAGGGAUCGGCGGGUCGAUAGUUCUAGUUCGGAUGAUGAGAGCUGACUUUGGUUGGAACAGGGGUUUGGUUUUAUUCAUCAAUCCUGGGUUUUGUUGGAGAUUGAUCGUUGAGCCAGUCCUCGGAUCUGGCUAAAGUACAUAUUCUGUGAACAGGACUCAUAAGGUGCUGAAAACUACUACUCGAGAGGCCCAUUGGUGAUCGGCUCGCCGUUGAGCAUGGUUUAAUGAUCUGAAUCUGAUCGAUUAUGCUCUGGGAAUCACAGACUUGAAAGCCUGGUUCUCAGAAGCUCGAACAACCACAUCUGCACCUGAUGCCCGCGCCACCGACCAAGGCUGCAUCAUAGAAUCAUCCGAUGCUUUCAACACAUCUGGAUUCAGGUCCUCGCCACUUGCAUCAGGAAGUUAGACUAGUUUUGUUAUACUAGCAGAUUGUGCCUAGUGAACAGCUUUAGAACAAUAAAUUUUGAAUCAUAAGUUAAUUCUUUCAUUAUACAUUGAUCUCUUGGAAGUAAAAGAUGGGAGCAGUUCAUGCCUUGUUUCCUCGUUGGCGACAGCUUUGGUCUAUAAACUAUGAAUCUGUACAUGCUACUCAAACUGUAUAUGGACAAUUAGACUACAAUUACUGUGAUUACUAGAUCAAAGAACAUCAUUUCAGUAUACUGAAACAAUAAACUCAAAGUUACUCUCUGC